rnacentral:rRNA from 1 species
CCUACGGGAGGCAGCAGUGGGGAAUUUUGGACAAUGGGGGCAACCCUGAUCCAGCCAUGCCGCGUGAGUGAAGAAGGCCUUCGGGUUGUAAAGCUCUUUCGGCCGGAACGAAAUCGCGCACGUGAAUAACGUGCGUGGAUGACGGUACCGGAGUAAGAAGCACCGGCUAACUACGUGCCAGCAGCCGCGGUAAUACGUAGGGUGCGAGCGUUAAUCGGAAUUACUGGGCGUAAAGCGUGCGCAGGCGGUUCGCUAAGUCAGACGUGAAAGCCCCGGGCUUAACCUGGGAACGGCGUUUGAAACUGGCGGGCUCGAGUACGGCAGAGGGGGGUGGAAUUCCACGUGUAGCAGUGAAAUGCGUAGAUAUGUGGAGGAACACCGAUGGCGAAGGCAGCCCCCUGGGCCGAUACUGACGCUCAUGCACGAAAGCGUGGGGAGCAAACAGGAUUAGAUACCCUGGUAGUCCACGCCCUAAACUAUGUCAACUAGUUGUCGGGGAAGCAAUUCCUUGGUAACGCAGCUAACGCGUGAAGUUGACCGCCUGGGGAGUCGGUCGCAAGAUUAAAACUCAAAGGAAUUGACGG